AGUGAACGCUGGCGGUAGGCCUAACACAUGCAAGUCGAACGGCAGCACAGUAAGAGCUUGCUCUUACGGGUGGCGAGUGGCGGACGGGUGAGGAAUACAUCGGAAUCUACUUUUUCGUGGGGGAUAACGUAGGGAAACUUACGCUAAUACCGCAUACGACCUACGGGUGAAAGCAGGGGAUCUUCGGACCUUGCGCGAUUGAAUGAGCCGAUGUCGCAUUAGCUAGUUGGCGAGGUAAAGGCCCACCAAGGCGACGAUCCGUAGCUGGUCGGAGAGGAUGAUGGGCAACACGGGAACUGAGAAAAGGUACAGACUCCGACGGGAGGCAGCAGGAGGGAAUCUUCAGCAAUGGGCGAAAGCCUGACGGAGCAACGCGGCGUGAGUGAUGAAGGUCUUCGGAUCGUAAAACUCUGUUAUGAGGGAAGAACAAAUGUGUAAGUAACUAUGCACGUCUUGACGGUACCUAAUCAGAAAGCCACGGCUAACUACGUG
rnacentral:rRNA from 1 species